rnacentral:rRNA from 1 species
GUUGGGUAAACCUGCCCAUCAGAAGGGGAUAACACUUGGAAACAGGUGCUAAUACCGUAAACACUAUUUUCCGCAGGAAAAAAGUUGAAAGGCGCUUUGCGUCACUGAUGGAUGGACCCGCGGUGCAUUAGCUAGUUGGUGAGGUAACGGCUCACCAAGGGCACGAUGCAUAGCCACCUGAGAGGGUGAUCGGCCACACUGGGACUGAGACACGGCCCAGACUCCUACGGGAGGCAGCAGUAGGGAAUCUUCGGCAAUGGACGAAAGUCUGACCGAGCAACGCCGCGUGAGUGAAGAAGGUUUUCGGAUCGUAAAACUCUGUUGUUAGAGAAGAACAGGAUGAGAGUAAAAUGUUCAUCCCUUGACGGUAUCUAACAGAAGCCACGGCUAACUACCUGCCACAGCCGCGGUAUACGUAGUGGCAAGCGUUGUCCGGAUUUAUUGGGCGUAAAGCAGCGCAGGCGGUUU